GGUUAAGCGACUAAGCGUACACGGUGGAUGCCCUGGCAGUCAGAGGCGAUGAAGGACGUGCUAAUCUGCGAUAAGCGUCGGUAAGGUGAUAUGAACCGUUAUAACCGGCGAUUUCCGAAUGGGGAAAACCCAGUGUGUUUCGACACACUAUCAUUAACUGAAUCCAUAGGUUAAUGAGGCGAACCGGGGGAACUGAAACAUCUAAGUACCCCGAGGAAAAGAAAUCAACCGAGAUUCCCCCCAGUAGCGGCGAGCGAACGGGGAGGAGCCCAGAGCCUGAAUCAGUGUGUGUGUUAGUGGAAGCGUCUGGAAAGGCGCGCGAUACAGGGUGACAGCCCCGUACACAAAAAUGCACAUGCUGUGAGCUCGAUGAGUAGGGCGGGACACGUGGUAUCCUGUCUGAAUAUGGGGGGACCAUCCUCCAAGGCUAAAUACUCCUGACUGACCGAUAGUGAACCAGUACCGUGAGGGAAAGGCGAAAAGAACCCCGGCGAGGGGAGUGAAAAAGAACCUGAAACCGUGUACGUACAAGCAGUGGGAGCCUCUUUUAUGGGGUGACUGCGUACCUUUUGUAUAAUGGGUCAGCGACUUAUAUUCUGUAGCAAGGUUAACCGAAUAGGGGAGCCGAAGGGAAACCGAGUCUUAACCGGGCGUUAAGUUGCAGGGUAUAGACCCGAAACCCGGUGAUCUAGCCAUGGGCAGGUUGAAGGUUGGGUAACACUAACUGGAGGACCGAACCGACUAAUGUUGAAAAAUUAGCGGAUGACUUGUGGCUGGGGGUGAAAGGCCAAUCAAACCGGGAGAUAGCUGGUUCUCCCCGAAAGCUAUUUAGGUAGCGCCUCGUGAAUUCAUCUCCGGGGGUAGAGCACUGUUUCGGCAAGGGGGUCAUCCCGACUUACCAACCCGAUGCAAACUGCGAAUACCGGAGAAUGUUAUCACGGGAGACACACGGCGGGUGCUAACGUCCGUCGUGAAGAGGGAAACAACCCAGACCGCCAGCUAAGGUCCCAAAAGUCAUGGUUAAGUGGGAAACGAUGUGGGAAGGCCCAGACAGCCAGGAUGUUGGCUUAGAAGCAGCCAUCAUUUAAAGAAAGCGUAAUAGCUCACUGGUCGAGUCGGCCUGCGCGGAAGAUGUAACGGGGCUAAACCAUGCACCGAAGCUGCGGCAGCGACACUGUGUGUUGUUGGGUAGGGGAGCGUUCUGUAAGCCUGUGAAGGUGUACUGUGAGGUAUGCUGGAGGUAUCAGAAGUGCGAAUGCUGACAUAAGUAACGAUAAAGCGGGUGAAAAGCCCGCUCGCCGGAAGACCAAGGGUUCCUGUCCAACGUUAAUCGGGGCAGGGUGAGUCGACCCCUAAGGCGAGGCCGAAAGGCGUAGUCGAUGGGAAACAGGUUAAUAUUCCUGUACUUGGUGUUACUGCGAAGGGGGGACGGAGAAGGCUAUGUUGGCCGGGCGACGGUUGUCCCGGUUUAAGCGUGUAGGCUGGUUUUCCAGGCAAAUCCGGAAAAUCAAGGCUGAGGCGUGAUGACGAGGCACUACGGUGCUGAAGCAACAAAUGCCCUGCUUCCAGGAAAAGCCUCUAAGCAUCAGGUAACAUCAAAUCGUACCCCAAACCGACACAGGUGGUCAGGUAGAGAAUACCAAGGCGCUUGAGAGAACUCGGGUGAAGGAACUAGGCAAAAUGGUGCCGUAACUUCGGGAGAAGGCACGCUGAUAUGUAGGUGAAGUCCCUCGCGGAUGGAGCUGAAAUCAGUCGAAGAUACCAGCUGGCUGCAACUGUUUAUUAAAAACACAGCACUGUGCAAACACGAAAGUGGACGUAUACGGUGUGACGCCUGCCCGGUGCCGGAAGGUUAAUUGAUGGGGUCAGCGCAAGCGAAGCUCUUGAUCGAAGCCCCGGUAAACGGCGGCCGUAACUAUAACGGUCCUAAGGUAGCGAAAUUCCUUGUCGGGUAAGUUCCGACCUGCACGAAUGGCGUAAUGAUGGCCAGGCUGUCUCCACCCGAGACUCAGUGAAAUUGAACUCGCUGUGAAGAUGCAGUGUACCCGCGGCAAGACGGAAAGACCCCGUGAACCUUUACUAUAGCUUGACACUGAACAUUGAGCCUUGAUGUGUAGGAUAGGUGGGAGGCUUUGAAGUGUGGACGCCAGUCUGCAUGGAGCCGACCUUGAAAUACCACCCUUUAAUGUUUGAUGUUCUAACGUGGACCCGUGAUCCGGGUUGCGGACAGUGUCUGGUGGGUAGUUUGACUGGGGCGGUCUCCUCCUAAAGAGUAACGGAGGAGCACGAAGGUUGGCUAAUCCUGGUCGGACAUCAGGAGGUUAGUGCAAUGGCAUAAGCCAGCUUGACUGCGAGCGUGACGGCGCGAGCAGGUGCGAAAGCAGGUCAUAGUGAUCCGGUGGUUCUGAAUGGAAGGGCCAUCGCUCAACGGAUAAAAGGUACUCCGGGGAUAACAGGCUGAUACCGCCCAAGAGUUCAUAUCGACGGCGGUGUUUGGCACCUCGAUGUCGGCUCAUCACAUCCUGGGGCUGAAGUAGGUCCCAAGGGUAUGGCUGUUCGCCAUUUAAAGUGGUACGCGAGCUGGGUUUAGAACGUCGUGAGACAGUUCGGUCCCCUAUCUGCCGUGGGCGCUGGAGAACUGAGGGGGCUGCUCCUAGUACGAGAGGACCGGAGUGGACGCAUCACUGGUGUUCGGGUUGUCAUGCCAAUGGCACUGCCCGGUAGCUAAAUGCGGAAGAGAUAAGUGCUGAAAGCAUCUAAGCACGAAACUUGCCCCGAGAUGAGUUCUCCCUGACCCUUUAAGGGUCCUGAAGGAACGUUGAAGACGACGACGUUGAUAGGCCGGGUGUGUAAGCGCAGCGAUGCGUUGAGCUAACCGGUACUAAUGAACCGUGAGGCUUAACCUU
rnacentral:rRNA from 1 species